AACGAACGCUGGCGGCGUGCCUAACACAUGCAAGUCGUGCGAGAAAGUUCCUUCGGGAGCGAGUAAAGCGGCGCACGGGUGAGUAACACGUAGGUAACCUGCCCCCCAGUCUGGAACAACUAGAGGAAACUCUAGCUAAUGCCGGAUGAGACCACGAUCCCUUCGGGGGUUGCGGCCAAAGAUGGCCUCUACUUGUAAGCUAUCGCUGAGGGAUGGGCCUGCGGGCCAUUAGCUUGUUGGUGAGGUAACGGCUCACCAAGGCUGUGAUGGCUAGCUGGUCUGAGAGGAUGACCAGCCACACUGGGACUGAGACACGGCCCAGACUCCUACGGGAGGCAGCAGUGGGAAUAUUGCGCAAAUGGGCGAAAGCCUGACGCAGCGACGCCGCGUGGGUGAUGAAGGCC
rnacentral:rRNA from 1 species